rnacentral:lncRNA from 1 species
CUGAUUCAUCCAAUGCGAAAUAAUUUUCCAAACUAUGGAUUAAAAGCAAAAGUAACAGCAAACAUAUGGCAUUUUGUGGAGGAAAAUAAAUAAUCCAUCGUAUUGUAAACACCAUGCCAGCUAAUUCCAUGGACACGGAGCCGUGGAACUGAGUCAGAGAAGGAGUCCCGGGAGGACUGUUUUUGACGAUGCACAGGUGGGCCUAUCAAUCCUCAGCCUGUUUACAUGGCUGCCAGAUGUUCGACACCAUGACCACGAGAAAGCCUGCGAGGAGUUUGCAGAUGCCACAACUCCACUUAACAAAUGCGAGUCAUGCUCCCGCGGGCCAAUUUACACUGGUUAGUUGUGACACCCCCUCAAGGCUAACACUAAUUUCACUAACGAUUUUGGCGGUGGAAGCGAUGCUAGCUGUGACCUUGCAGCAGUGUAAUGAUAUUGUCGGUGACUACACAAGUGGACCUUGGCGUGCCCACAACUAACCAUGCUGUGCCCAUGCGGUGCCAGCGCAGUGUCUCCGCAUGCCAGCCUUGCACAUCCUGUCUGAGGCGACAGGAACAUCAGACAUGACAGAUGGCUCAUAAAUCAUGGAGGUGUGUGCACGCUGACGAUGGGAGGCCUUCCUCUGGAGAGAGCCUAUAGAGAGAGAGAGAGAGAGAGAGAGAGAGGACACAGAGAAAUAAAGAAAGAUGAAAUGGGAGAGACAGAGAGAGACAGAGAGAGAGAGAGAGAGAGAGAGAGAGAGACAGCAGAGGGAGCAAAGGAAGAGAAAGCACCAGCGCAGCACACAGAGGCUGACUGGGCUGUUACUUUCAACUGAGACAGCAUUGAUAAUGAGGGAACUAGAGGAACAGUUUUUUUCUGUGUCCAUCCGCUGCUCCAUUCAGUUGAUAAAUAAUAUUCAAUAUGCUUAGGAACAUAAAAUGCUUUUAGUACAGUGUCCAUAUUAGAAAAGCCUCUUUCUUACAUUGAAGUUUGAAAAUUAUAAUGAGGUAAUGUACAGUAUAAGCCUUGUCUCAAAUAAAAGGUGUAGUCACAGCAUGGCAAUUAUGUGUCUGUAUGUUCCAAGAUUGUUGAUAGAAAUGAUGUACAUGGAAAGUAUUAAUUUUAGUCAAAGCAUAUUCUGAUUGUUGUGGAAGUGAGAAUAUUGUACCAAAGUAUUUUUUAUUUCUAUGAAUUCAACUAGAAGAGGGGCCAGAAUGAACAGCUUGAAGGUGAUGAGUUGUAAAAUGAAAGUUAACAGUUAAUGUAGCAAGAUAAAUCAAUUGACUGACUGGAUUCUAAUUGGUUUACUCUCUCCUCCCUGUAAAAUAAGAACGUUUGG